GUCCCGGACUUUUUGUUUCUGUAUAGAAACAAGGAAGCAAUGCAUUAUUCAGCAAGAGACUUUUACUGAAAAGUGUAAUCUAGGACCUCGCAGUUUUAGUUCCUCAUUGGUACAAGCUUCCUUCUCCAUCAUUGUCAAGCCACCAGGGGGGCGGUGCCGGAAUCGCCCGAGAUCUGACUGAGGCGGGCCUCCAACCAUGUGUUAUUGGUAGCCGACUUACAGGAUCGCUCUACGUCUCCCCACAGCCCACGUGUCUCAUUAGUGAAGGGAUGUGAGAGAACGAGCGCGUUGUUGUUGAACAUGUACAGCUACCGUCAGUUAUCGCUCACUGUAGUCGUGUAAUGACUCAUUAACGCUACUCACUCUAUUUAUUGGGGUGUAUGGAUCGACAAAGUUAAUACUACAUUGGUAUAGCUUGUUGAGUUUAUACAAUGAUUCGCAAUAGGAAAGAGGAUGUUUAUGUUUUCCUGUAGACCUGUUACUGCCGGUCCAACUGUUAACAUCACCUACUUGUUGGAUUGAGACAUGUGGUGAGCACUCUCUCAUGGAUCUAGGAGUACUCCUGAGCACCAUGGUAGAUGUAGAGAUCCUCCUGGCCGUGUGUCACCUCUGUGUGGCUUUCGAAUUAGGAAUUGCUCAAGACGACAGAGUGAUCGACGAAACACCUCUCACGGUCAAGGUCAUUUCAGGUUCCACCGCCAUCUUGCCAUGUUCUGUGGACCCCAAGUACACAGAAGGCUAUGCAGACCAGUACAGUGUAUUGUGGCAGAAUCCCAUACAGACUGUCAUAAGUGUCAAGGACAGAAGGGUUUUAACAGACAUGCGCAUUAGUGUUGAAAGGCCAUUUGUCAGCGACUGGAAUCUCCACAUCAGGAAUGUGUCCGUCACGGACAGUGGGGAAUACAAGUGUCAAAUAAAUACAGACCCAGUCAGAUCUAAAAGGGUCAAACUUGUGGUUCAAGUUCCUCCAAAUAUAAUUGAUUAUUCUGAUUCCGAUGAUGUGAAAGCAAGAACAGGUGAUAGCGUUGAGUUGAUGUGUAACGCCACCGGCAUCCCCACACCAACAAUCACCUGGUACAGGCUCAAUGUCUGGAGCACCAAGAAGAAGGAAAAGGUCGGCCACGAAGGGCAAGUACUGCUGAUUCGCAACAUAUCGCGCGUGUGUGCCGAUACCUAUGAAUGCGUGGCCAACAACACAGUGCCACCUGCCAGAACCAGACAGAUCAAGGUUACCGUCGAGUAUCCACCCGAAAUUCAUCUGUUUACGACACGGAUCGGACAACAACUACGGAGAGAAACGAUACUGGAAUGCAGGAUUACCGCCUCACCUCUUGGAGUGACCAUGUGGAAGAAGAACGGAGAACAACUUCAUCCCAAUUUUAAACACGAACUCGAUGUAUACAACGAAGGCCCACAAACAAUUACACUGAGCUUAAGGAUAGUGAAUAUUCAGAAGCAUGACUUUGGGGAAUAUGUAUGCGAAGCGUCCAAUAGCAUGGGAAGUGCCUCGGAAGUGAUGGAGCUGUACGAGGUAUAUCCCAUCACGACAACAACCACGCCACCUACAACAACACAGCUCAUCAGGCAAACCAUUUUCUUCAGCGGUGAAGGUGGGAAGGAAUACCCUCCCCCCAAAACAUGGCCUAAAGGUGACCGAGGAAAACAUAGGGAGGGAACGUUCCCUGGGAAAAAAGCACCCAAAAGUGGACCCACCGUCAAGAAGAAUCCCACAGGUGCUAGUCUUACGGGGGUAUAUAGCCCGGGUUCUAUGAAGUACGACAAUCAAGCAGGGAUACCCAACAUUCCAAGUACAGUUGUUUUUCUGUGUGUGAUGUACUCAAUUACACUGGUGCAAGCUAUGAACACGUUGUGACAUGUGUGCGAUUAUUAAAGGAUGUAUGUAUCUCAUGCAUUGGUUCGUACAAGUGGACCAAUUGGAAUGGAUUUGGAUAAGCAGUGAUUUGCCUUAUCCAUUUAUAAUUUCGCGGUGACAGAUAUUGCCAUCAACAUCCAUUGAAAGUCAUCCAUGUAAGGCACCUCUGCAAGAUUUGCGUGAAUCGUCACAUGUACAAGUAACGAGUACAAUAAAUUACAUUGGAAGUACCAUUCCAGCUACCAGAGAUCCUGUGAGGGGUUCAUCUUCAUCAUGCAUGGAAAUAGGGUUGAAUAUUUGAACAAGUGUUUUAAUAGUUAAACUAAUGCCGUGAAAACUGAAUAAAGUAGAAGCGUUCACACUUCUCCACUGGACCAUGCCCACACAACGGAUCAUCACAGGCCGUGUUAUAUAACUGUUAUUAAGUAGUCUCCCUUUGAGUCGAACAUAUGUAUCCUAUAGAAGAACA
rnacentral:misc_RNA from 1 species